rnacentral:lncRNA from 1 species
CUAGUCAUGUUUAUUCACAUUGUUGUACAACCACUUUUCUCUCUGCCCCCUCCCCCUGCCUCCUACUGUUUACCAACAAUUGUUAUAUGCAAAUUGGUCACAUGCAUACAGGAUUCACGCAGCCUUGAUAUAGGCCUUUUUUUAUUUCUGCGUAUUUUCACAACAAUGUAGGAGACUGGUGAGGUUCGCCCGAUGAACUGUAAUAACACCAUAGAUCUCAA